rnacentral:rRNA from 1 species
UACGUAGGGUGCAAGCGUUGUCCGGAAUUAUUGGGCGUAAAGCGCACGUAGGCGGUUUGUUAAGUCGGAUGUGAAAUCCCUCGGCUCAACUGAGGAAGUGCAUCCGAAACUGGCAAGCUUGAGUACGAAAGAGGAUCGCGGAAUUCCCGGUGUAGAGGUGAAAUUCGUAGAUAUCGGGAGGAACACCGGUGGCGAAGGCGGCGAUCUGGGUCGAUACUGACGCUGAGGUGCGAAAGCGUGGGGAGCAAACAGG